GGUUCCGGGGCGGCGAUGCUGCGGGAGCCGGGGGAGCGGCGGCCUGAGGGGGCAGCCGAGGGAACCGCGUGCUCUUGCUACUGCUGCUGCUGCUCCUCCCGCUCCUCCUCUUCCUUUUCCGCCUCCUUUGUCGAUCCUGUUCAUGCUCCUCCUCUUCCUCCCGCUCCUCCCUUUCCUUGUCCUCCUCCUCCUCCCGCUCCUCCUCCUCUCCAAGCUCGGAGCGGGCGGUUCCGACACCCAAAAGCAGCCGCGCUGUCCCCUGGGAGGAAUUCAAAAGCGACUGUGCCAGGCGCGGCGCUAAGAGCGAUCAUGGGAGCACCGGGAGCGAUCCUGAGAGCAGCGAGAAGGAUUUGGGAGCGCUUUUCCUCCCAGUCUGGAUCUUACUGGGAGCACUGGGAGGGAACUGGGAGCAAACAGCGCCCGGACGCGGCUGCAGCCGGCGCUGGGCGGGGCCAAGGCAGAGGGCGUGGUUAUGCAAAUCGACGAGCCACCGCGCGCUGUGAUUGGUAGGCGGGAGAGGCGCGGGGUUUCUUCGGGCCGGUGAGGGCCCGGGCAGGGCCGGAGCGAUGGCGGCGGCGUCCGGUUUCCACGGGGACACAGGAGGAUGUGGAGCCCCCAGUCAGGUCUCCACAUGGUUCACGUGGUUUGCAGCUGCACCCUCCUGUCCAAGGGAGUGUCCAUGGAUCCCACCAGUACAGGUACAAUGGGUGGGAUUUCAUCUCCUUCCAGCUGGGAUCUGGGAGCUUUGCAGUGUCCGACGGUGCCACCUGGAUCACCCAGAGGUGCUGGGAAUGCAAAGGGAUCAUGGUGGAGCAGAUGAAGCAUUAGCUGGGACACAUCUGUGUGGAAGAGCUCCCAAAAUACAUCAGCUGUGGUCAGGUGGCUCUGGAACACAAAGGUGGGUGUGGGAGUGGGAAGAUAAUUCCUCUGGGAGAGUGGAAUUCAGGAAGGGGGACUUGGGAAUGCAGAAAUUGCCAUGGAAUUUCCAUGGCCAGAUCUCACUCUCAUCCCAGUCAGGGGAGAAUUCCAUGGAUGGACACCCCCAACCCACUGCCAUGGGAAUUCCACUGGGAAAUGAUUUGAAUUGAUGACCAAUCAAAUGCCAGCAGUUGUCUAAUUAGCAAAUUUGCAAUGCUAAAACAAAUCUUUGGGUGGCUUUAACUAAAGCAUCAGGCUUAGACAACAUCUGUUUUUCCUAUACACCCCUAGGAAAGACAUUUUUCACCUGUUUAGUUUGCAUGCCAGUAGAUGCUUGGCCAAUUCCAGUCACCUUCCCCAGGCACCUUCUGAACCUGAAGAAUUAGACAUCCAUGGCCCUGUA